CGCGGUCGCCAGGUAGAGCUGCUUUCCGGGCCUGGGCGGUCCCUGGCUCCUCAGCCCCAGCCCGAAGGACACCGGGGCGAAGGCGGGAGCCACCAGUGAGCGCCAUUGCCCGGUGCCUUACGCCACUGGUCUGGUUUGGCGCACACGGAUGCUCUGCCACGUCGGAAUUGUCGCCCUUAUUUUGGAGGAAACGAAACCGAGGCUCCGGAGAGCAUCACUUCUUAUGACUCAGACCUCGAUUUCAGAAACCCAGAAACCGUGAGGAAUAUGACAGAGCAAAGCAUACGAGAGAGGAAAUCUUAGGCCUGGUCUUCAGUCUCUCAGUAAUGCAAUGGGUAAAUUUAGCCUCCAUUCCAGACACGUGUCCACUUUGCACGUGGAUCCACUGAGAAAGCACUACCCUGGCUGGGGACAGUGGCUGACAGACAUCAAGAGAGCAUCAUUUUGUCCACCUGCUUGUUGAACGUCUCCUUUCCAAAUGAUGCCCUCUGGUUCCUACAAGUGCAUGUGGCCAGCAGCAUCUGGUGGCCAGCACCUUUUCAUUUCUUGGGUGGUGCUGUGAGAUACUUCCCCAUGGAUAGCUUUCCCUGGCGUUCUGAAAUGAGGAUUUCUGUGCAUCCUGCUCAGCAGUCUCAGUAUUCUGUCUCUAACAAUGGUGAAAAGGGAGUUUAGGAUUCUUUUGACAAGGUGAAGCCCUUAAAAGCUGAUCAGAAGCAUCUAUCACCACCACCAUCAAUCACCACCUUGGGCAUCAACUUGAGGGAUUUUAUUGUUGAACCGACUUGUUAAGAGGUCCCAAAUUUCCAGUGUCUGUGUGUCUUUUCUCCUGGGAAGGACUGUACGUCCCCACCCCUGGCCCCCUGCCUGAGGUGAAAUGAGCCUAUCCGAUGUAUUCUGGACAUUGGCAGGAAAAGGAGACUGCAGGUAUCGUGGUUCAGCAUGAUUAGGGGGUGGUAGGGAGGGUCCUGGUGGCCUAACUGCUCUUUACACAAAAUUUUAACCAGUUAUGCUUGUACAUUUGUGUGGUAAAAUAUACAUAAAACUUACUAUUUCAACCAUUUUUAAGCAUACAACUCAGUGGCAUUAAGUACAUUCACAAUGAUGUGUAGCAAUCACCACUAUCCAUACCCAAACCUUUGUCAUCAUCUUCAACAGAACCUCCACGCAUUAAACACCAACACUCUGUCCCCCUUCUCCUGGUUCCUGGUGACCUCCGUUCUGUCUGUCUCUGUGAGUUGGCCUAUUCUGGUACCUCAUGUAAGAAUUAUACAGUAUUUGUCCUUCUGUGUUCUUCAUACCUUUUUACCUUUAUGUUUUUCAGUAACUCAGAUUAAGUCAGUGCCCAAGGCCAUCAGCUCUGAGUGGCAACAUGGCCACAGGAACCGGUGUCAAGACACUAGUCUCAGCUGUUGGGCCGCUACUACCUCAGUGGUUGACUUUUGCCAUCCAUAUGCCUGUGUAUCCAUAUGUAGCAGGGAUUUUGCAUUUGCCAUUAAAUACUGAAUGUUUUUCAAACCAUUCGGAAUUCUCUGAAACUUUUUAAUGCUUCUUAACAGUCAUUUUUUAUGUAUCAUGCUUUAUUUUUUAUUGUUUUGAAUUUUAAAUAACAGUAUAUACCUUCGUACAUAAAUACCUGUAUUUCUGACUAGAACUCUAUGGUAAAAGAGAAUGUCAUUUCUGGUUCAAACAAUAGAACAUAAUUAUUAUUUGAUACUUGUUAAAUUACCCUUCAGAAAUUAGCAAGUUUAUAAUACGUAAGUAUUCUUAAGUCAUCUUCAUUACUACUAAUUUUAAUUAGGUAAAAAUAAGGUUCUACUGAUUUUAAGAGUCUUUAAUAACUGGUAAAGAAUAUUUUUCAUUUUCUCUAUAUUGCUUAGGCCACUAGCUCAUUUUCUAUUCUGUAUUUUAAGGUAUUCAUGUGAACCUUUUCCUAUAUUUUGUGCCAUAUUUUUUCCCCCAAUUGUUCCCUCAUUUUAAAUUUGAUGAAUGGGUGAAACAGAAAAUAGAGUCCAGCAGUCAUUUUGUCUGGUUUCCUCACUUGAGAUCUAGAUUUUUUUCAUGGUGAGGGGUUAACACUUUCAUGGCCUUUGUGGUUUCAAAGUAGAGAGAUU